CAUAGGUUAAUGAGGCGAACCGGGGGAACUGAAACAUCUAAGUACCCCGAGGAAAAGAAAUCAACCGAGAUUCCCCCAGUAGCGGCGAGCGAACGGGGAGGAGCCCAGAGCCUGAAUCAGUGUGUGUGUUAGUGGAAGCGUCUGGAAAGGCGCGCGAUACAGGGUGACAGCCCCGUACACAAAAAUGCACAUAUUGUGAGCUCGAUGAGUAGGGCGGGACACGUGGUAUCCUGUCUGAAUAUGGGGGGACCAUCCUCCAAGGCUAAAUACUCCUGACUGACCGAUAGUGAACCAGUACCGUGAGGGAAAGGCGAAAAGAACCCCGGCGAGGGGAGUGAAAAAGAACCUGAAACCGUGUACGUACAAGCAGUGGGAGCCUCUUAAUGGGGUGACUGCGUACCUUUUGUAUAAUGGGUCAGCGACUUAUAUUCUGUAGCAAGGUUAACCGAAUAGGGGAGCCGAAGGGAAACCGAGUCUUAACUGGGCGUUAAGUUGCAGGGUAUAGACCCGAAACCCGGUGAUCUAGCCAUGGGCAGGUUGAAGGUUGGGUAACACUAACUGGAGGACCGAACCGACUAAUGUUGAAAAAUUAGCGGAUGACUUGUGGCUGGGGGUGAAAGGCCAAUCAAACCGGGAGAUAGCUGGUUCUCCCCGAAAGCUAUUUAGGUAGCGCCUCGUGAAUUCAUCUCCGGGGGUAGAGCACUGUUUCGGCAAGGGGGUCAUCCCGACUUACCAACCCGAUGCAAACUGCGAAUACCGGAGAAUGUUAUCACGGGAGACACACGGCGGGUGCUAACGUCCGUCGUGAAGAGGGAAACAACCCAGACCGCCAGCUAAGGUCCCAAAGUCAUGGUUAAGUGGGAAACGAUGUGGGAAGGCCCAGACAGCCAGGAUGUUGGCUUAGAAGCAGCCAUCAUUUAAAGAAAGCGUAAUAGCUCACUGGUCGAGUCGGCCUGCGCGGAAGAUGUAACGGGGCUAAACCAUGCACCGAAGCUGCGGCAGCGACACUAUGUGUUGUUGGGUAGGGGAGCGUUCUGUAAGCCUGUGAAGGUGUACUGUGAGGU
rnacentral:rRNA from 2 species